UGGGGAAUAUUGCACAAUGGGCGAAAGCCUGAUGCAGCAACGCCGCGUGAGCGAUGAAGGUUUUCGGAUCGUAAAGCUCUGUCGCAUGGGAAGAUAAUGACGGUACCAUGUGAGGAAGCCCCGGCUAACUACGUGCCAGCAGCCGCGGUAAUACGUAGGGGGCAAGCGUUAUCCGGAAUUACUGGGCGUAAAGGGUGCGUAGGUGGUCUGCCAAGUUAGAGGUCAAAGGCAACGGCUCAACCGUUGUUCGCCCCUAAAACUGGCGGACUUGAGUUCUGGAGGGGAAAGCGGAAUUCCUAGUGUAGCGGUGAAAUGCGUAGAUAUUAGGAGGAACACCAGUGGCGAAGGCGGCUUUCUGGACAGAUACUGACACUGAGGCACGAAAGCGUGGGUAGCAAAC
rnacentral:rRNA from 1 species